UUUUUUUUUUUCAAUUCUGGAAUGUUCACCCAAGAUGCAUCUCAACUGCCACUUUAUACAAGAAACCUUCCCUGAUUCUCCAGCCAACUGCUGAUACCCUCCCUCUCAGAAUAACUUCUAGAGUCAUCUGGGACCAGUGGCCCAACAGAUCAGGAUGACUAGAGAUGGCCUUGGAUUCAGUGAGAGAUCUUGGCCUUUGUAAACUAAGGUCUUUAACAGGUGCCUCCUCCCAACUUGACUACUAUUUUGUUAUGGUGGAAGGGCUUGCAUAGCUCAGUGACACUCGACUUCUAUCAUGCAGGUAUAGUGGAGAAUUCUGACAAAAGGUGAUCUACUGGAGAAGGAAAUGCAAACCACUGCUGUAUUUUUGCCAAGAAAACCCCAUGCAUGGAUAGUACUAGAGUCAUAAAAUAGAUAAUGUUGGAAGAUGAGCCCCUCAGGUCAGAAGGUAUUCAAUAUGCUACUGAGGAAAAACAAAGGAUAAUGACAAGUAGUUCCAAUAUUUAUACCAGUACUACAGUUGAAAGGAAGUUCAGCUGCUCAGACAUCUGUUGACAAAAGGAAAGUCCAAUGCUGUAAAGAUCAAUAUUGCAUAGGAACUUGGAAAUAAGGUUUAUAAACGAAAGUAAGCUGGAUAUGGUUAAAUAUAGAAAGUUUAUAAGUUGACACAUUGGAUGUCAGAAGUUAAAUGGACAAAAAAUAGGUAAAUUUAAUUCAGGUCAUCAUUUUAUUUAUAUAUAUAUAUCACUGUGGACAAGAAUCUUUAAAAAAAAAAAAAAAAAAAGGAGUACCACUCAUAGUCAGUAAUAAGGUUGAGAAAAGCAGUGUUGAAGCAUAAUCUCAAAAAUGACAGAAGGAUAUGUUUUCAAAUUGAAGGCAUGCCAUUCAACACCAUAGUAAUACAAGUCUUUGCUCCAACUACUGAUGCCAAAGAGGCUAAAGUUGAGUAUUUCUAUGAAGAUAUACAUCAUCUGCUUGAAAUGACACCCCCCCAAAAAGAUGUCACAUUCAUCAAGGGAAUUUGAAAGCUAAAGUAGGAAAUCAAAAGGUAAUUGGAAUAAACUCCAAGUUUGGCCUUGGAGUACAAAAUGAAGAGUGCAGAUAUUAAUAGAAUUUUGUCAAGACACGUCAUAAAAAAUCACUCCUUUUCAAAAACCCCAAAGGUGACUCUCUACAUGUAUAUCACCAAUGUGGAAGUAAGACUAUCUUUGCAAUCAAAAGUGGAGAAACUCUAUACAUAAGUUAAAAACAAGACCUGGAGCUGAUUGUGUCUCAAAUCACAAGUUUUUAUUG